GAAGAGCUAGGAAUGCUACCUAUACACUGUGUCUAAUGACCCCACUAACCCCAAGACUCCUGCUUCUCUGGGACAUGUGAUAAUGGGCUCUGAUUACAGUGAGCAAAACCCUCAUUUCAACAUAAUCGAUCUCAUCUAUCUGUGAAGAGGAAAGAAAUAGGAUUGAUCAAUAUAUCCACAGAAUCGUGAGUGACAGUUCUACAUCAUAAAAGUUUUCUGAACAUCAGUUCCCAGUGGGACCGUGAUUAGAGUAUUUCUUUUCCUUUGAUGAAGAAAUGGAGCACUGAAGAUUUGCCCCAAAUGACAACACUAUCUCAUGGCAGAGCUGGACAAUCAUUAAGACCACUUGAUUCCUUACCUAGCACCUUGCUAGUACAACAUGAUUUAUGAACUGCUCCCGAAUGUACCAAGAGAAAAAUGGCAAGAUCCUUCAGAGUUGAAGAAGACCUAGUCAGGAGGGCAUUUAUCUUCUUAAUAGAAUUGCCUUCUCUUACAGCACUUUCUUCCCAUUGGACUCCUACAUAUGGGAGACAGGAAGCAGAUGUUUUCAGAGCAGGAGUGUGAGAAAGGCAAACUAACACCUUCUCUUUGAUGUGCUUGGAAGGACUCAAAUUGCUCUCUCUAGAGUAGUUAAGACAGCUGUUGAGAUGUAGCAAAGCUUUGAUCCAAGAGCUUGAGGUCCCAGAGUCAUGAAAUCACCCCAGGAAGAAAAACAGGGGUAGAAAGUAUUUUUGCUGGUGUUUCUCCCAAGUGCCACCAGAAGCUAGCAUCAUCCCAUGGGUAACUAAUGCAGCUUAAGCAAUAAUGACUAAGGUCCAAAGACUUGGAGACUCUCCAAGCAACACAUAAUAACGUGAGAGGAGGAAGGAAGUGAAGGAGAGAAUUGGGGGCUGUUUUUAUCAAAACUUUAAAGAAUAGAAAGCAUCAUAAAUACAUGGAGCGAACUUCAACAAACAAAACCUUCCGGCCUUUGAAUUCAUUGGUGAGAAAAGGGAACUACAAUGGAUAGCAAGCAGAUGUUUUAUACUGAGGCCUGAUAGGGAGUUUCACCAGGCCAGACUCCUACAGUAGAAGUCGGCCAGCAGGAUCCUCAACGAGCAAGAGAGACAAGGAACAUCUCCACAUAAACCAGAGAAGAUAGCAAAAACAGCACAAAGACCCAGACAAAGACUAGCUACCCUAUAUCAAUUUCCUUGAGGUCCACGUGGCUGAUACAGGAAGUGAAGGGGCAAAUCUUUAAAAGGAGAGAAAUAUCCCAAGUUUGAAUCCUGAAUCAAAUGAGUAUUCAUCCCAAAGACAUUGAACCAAUUUCACAGAGACUAUUUAAAAACAGAAGAGACAAAGUUAGCAAGAUAACAAGAACUGGCAAAUUUUAGAUUUAUUUUUCCUGCUCCCCAAAUGGAAUAUAUGGGAUUGAGGAAAAGAUGAGGUCACUUAU